rnacentral:rRNA from 3 species
CGUGACGGCGCGAGCAGGUGCGAAAGCAGGUCAUAGUGAUCCGGUGGUUCUGAAUGGAAGGGCCAUCGCUCAACGGAUAAAAGGUACUCCGGGGAUAACAGGCUGAUACCGCCCAAGAGUUCAUAUCGACGGCGGUGUUUGGCACCUCGAUGUCGGCUCAUCACAUCCUGGGGCUGAAGUAGGUCCCAAGGGUAUGGCUGUUCGCCAUUUAAAGUGGUACGCGAGCUGGGUUUAGAACGUCGUGAGACAGUUCGGUCCCUAUCUGCCGUGGGCGCUGGAGAACUGAGGGGGGCUGCUCCUAGUACGAGAGGACCGGAGUGGACGCAUCACUGGUGUUCGGGUUGUCAUGCCAAUGGCACUGCCCGGUAGCUAAAUGCGGAAGAGAUAAGUGCUGAAAGCAUCUAAGCACGAAACUUGCCCCGAG